AAAAGCGAAAAAGGGCGCAUAGAGGAUAUCUGGGCAUAUGGUGCCGAAGAAGGACGUGGCACACUGCGAAAAGCUCUGGUGAGGGGUGUGCACCCGCAAGAACCAGAGACAUCCGAAUGGGGAAACCCGAUGGGGUUAGAACUCCAUCACUCCGUAAGGAGAGGGAACCCGGGGAACUGAAACAUCUAAGUACCCGGAGGAAAAGAGAAGAUUCUGCGAGUAGUGGCGAGCGAAAGCGGAGUAGCCCAAACCGGUCAGNNUACNGGCCGGGGUUGUAGGACACCAGACGCGAAGAUGGAAUCAAGCGGAACGACCUGGGAAGGUCGACCGGAGAGGGUGAGAGUCCCGUAGGCUUGAGGAAGUAAUAGCAGGUGUAUCCUGAGUACCACGGCGUACGCUAAUGUUGUGGGAAACUGGGCCGCCCACGGUCCAAGGCUAAAUACACCAUAUGACCGAUAGUGAAAAAGUACCGUGAGGGAAAGAUGAAAAGAACCCCGGCGAGGGGAGUGAAACAGAACUUGAAACUGUGCGCUUACAACCGGUCGGAGGGGGCUAAGGCUCCUGACGGCGUGCCUUUAGGAGAAUGAACCAGCGAGUCAAUUCAUGUGGCAAGCUUAAGGCAGGUACAGCCGAAGGCGAAGCGAAAGCGAGUCUGAAAAGGGCGAGAAGUGGCAUGAAUUGGACACGAAACCGUGUGAGCUAACCAUGGGCAGGCUGAAAGUGCGGUAACACGCACGGGAGGGCCGAACCCACCAAUGUUGCAAAAUUGGGGGAUGACCUGUGGUUAGAGGUGAUAUGCCAAACGAACACGGAGAUAGCUUGUUCUCCCCGAAAUAGCUUUAGGGCUAGCGUUGCAUGAUGAGUGAUGGAGGUAGAGCACUGAAUGGGCUAGGGGGCGUCUAGCUUACCGAACCCAAUCAAACUCCGAAUGCCAUCAUAUCAAAUGCAGCAGUCGGACGGUGGGAGAUGAGUUUCAUCGUCGAAAGGGAAACAACCCAGACCCCCAGCUAAGGUCCCAAAGUACGUGUUAAGUGGGAAACGAUGUGAUUGUGUAGAGACAGCCAGGAGGUUGGCUUAGAAGCAGCCAUCCUUUAAAGAGUGCGUAACAGCUCACUGGUCAAACGCAGUUGCGCGGAUAAUGUAACGGGGCUCAAACACGUCACCGAAGCUAGGGAUAUAACCAGGUUAAACCUGGAGAUAUGGUAGGGGAGCGUUGAUACGGCGGAGAAGGUGUCCUGGCAAGGGAUGCUGGAGCGGUAUCAAGUGCGAAUGCUGGUAUGAGUAGCGAGAAAUGCGUGAGAACCGCAUUGGCCGAAAAUCUAAGGUUUCCGACGGAAGGUCAGUCCGCGUCGGGUUAGUCGGGCCUAAGCCGAGGCCGAGAGGCGUAGGCGAUGGACAACGGGUUAAUAUUCCCGUACCGGUAGCAUGUUGGAGAGGAACUCCUGGUGGAGGCUCAGCCACUGAGUGGAUUGUGGUUGCAAGCGGAGGAAGUCCGCGAUGCCGUGCCGAAAUGGCAAGAAGUGAGAGGUACACUGGGACUAGAAAAGACCGAACUGUAAAUGCUACUGCCCGUACCGCAAACCGACACAGGUAGAUGGGUAGAGGAUACCAAGGCCAACGGGAGAACCUUCGUUAAGGAAUUAGGCAAAAUGGAUCCGUAACUUCGGGAUAAGGAUCACCCCUGAGAGGGGGUCGCAGUGAAAUGGCUCUGCCGACUGUUUACCAAAAACACAGGUCUCUGCCAAGCCGAAAGGCGAAGUAUAGGGGCUGAAGCCUGCCCAGUGCCGGAAGGUUAAGUGGACGUGUUAACGCACUGAAAUGAAGCCCCGGUGAACGGCGGCCGUAACUAUAACGGUCCUAAGGUAGCGAAAUUCCUUGUCGGGUAAGUUCCGACCCGCACGAAAGGCUUAACGAGUGGAGCACUGUCUCAACGAGGGACCCGGCGAAAUUGAAGUAUGCGUAAAAAUGCGUAUUACCUGCAGCAGGACAAAAAGACCCCGUGGAGCUUUACUGUAGCCUGUCAUUGCGUUAGGGUGCAACUUGUGUAGGAUAGCUGGGAGACUAGGAAGCGUGGACGUCAGUCUGCGUGGAGUCAACGUUGAAAUACCAGCCUGGUUCUACUUUGACCCUAACCCGCCCUUUCACAGAGGGGGGGACAGUGACUGGUGGGCAGUUUGACUGGGGCGGUCGCCUCCGAAAGAGUAACGGAGGCGCCCAAAGGUUGGCUCAGGCGGAAUGGAAACCCGUCAAAGAGUGUAAAGGCAAAAGCCAGCUUGACUGGGAGAGAGACACCUCGACCAGAGACGAAAGUCGGGCUUAGUGAUCCUACGGCGCUGAGUGGAAAGGCCGUAGCUUACCGGAUAAAAGCUACCCCGGGGAUAACAGGCUAGUCUUGUCCAAGAGUUCACAUCGACGACAAGGCUCGGCACCUCGAUGUCGGCUCAUCGCAUCCUGGGGCUGUAUA
rnacentral:rRNA from 1 species